CGCCCACCUCAGCCUCCCAAAGUGCUGGGAUUACAGGCAUGAGCCACCGCGCCCGGCCAGCCUGUGCAUUCUUAGGUGACCAAUAUAUAGUUAGC
rnacentral:miRNA from 1 species